GGGCGCAUGGCAGAGCGGUUGAAUGCACCAGUCUUGAAAACUGGCAAGGGUUUACGCCCUUCGGGGGUUCGAAUCCCUCUGCGCCCGCCA
rnacentral:tRNA from 1 species